rnacentral:tRNA from 1 species
CAAGGGGUAAUUUAGGCCCAGAAUUCUGGCUUUGGGUGCCAGCGGCGGAAGUUAAAAUCUUUCCUCCUUGA